UACGAAGGGGCUAGCGUUGUUCGGAAUCACUGGGCGUAAAGCGCACGUAGGCGGAUCUUUAAGUCAGGGGUGAAAUCCCGAGGCUCAACCUCGGAACUGCCUUUGAUACUGGGAUCUCGAGUCCGGGAGAGGUGAGUGGAACUGCGAGUGUAGAGGUGAAAUUCGUAGAUAUUCGCAAGAACACCAGUGGCGAAGGCGGCUCACUGGCCCGGAACUGACGCUGAGGUGCGAAAGCGUGGGAGCAAACAGG
rnacentral:rRNA from 1 species